CAGUCGAGGGGUAUAGUUAGCUUGCUAACUUGAGACCGGCGCACGGGUGCGUAACGCGUAUGCAAUCUACCUUUCACAAAGGGAUAGCCCAGAGAAAUUUGGAUUAAUACCUUAUAGUAUAUAUGAAUGGCAUCAUUUAUAUAUUAAAGAUUUAUCGGUGAAAGAUGAGCAUGCGUCCCAUUAGCUAGUUGGUAAGGUAACGGCUUACCAAGGCAACGAUGGGUAGGGGUCCUGAGAGGGAGAUCCCCCACACUGGUACUGAGACACGGACCAGACUCCUACGGGAGGCAGCAGUGAGGAAUAUUGGACAAUGGGCGCAAGCCUGAUCCAGCCAUGCCGCGUGCAGGAUGACGGUCCUAUGGAUUGUAAACUGCUUUUAUACGAGAAGAAACACUCCGACGUGUCGGAGCUUGACGGUAUCGUAAGAAUAAGGAUCGGCUAACUCCGUGCCAGCAGCCGCGGUAAUACGGGGGAUCCAAGCGUUAUCCGGAAUCAUUGGGUUUAAAGGGUCCGUAGGCGGUCAGGUAAGUCAGUGGUGAAAGCCCAUCGCUCAACGGUGGAACGGCCAUUGAUACUGUCUGACUUGAAUUAUUAGGAAGUAACUAGAAUAUGUAGUGUAGCGGUGAAAUGCUUAGAGAUUACAUGGAAUACCAAUUGCGAAGGCAGGUUACUACUAAUAUAUUGACGCUGAUGGACGAAAGCGUGGGUA
rnacentral:rRNA from 1 species